AAAGAGACAGCCUUGGAUGCAUACUAGCUGGAUAGUCAUGGGGAAGUCAUCCUGUGCCUCUCUCUGUGCCUUCAUUCUCUCAUCUGUAAAAUACCUGGAUUGCCUAACUCACACAAAGAAUUGACUAUGAGAUUCCAAUGGAAAAUGUCAUCAGGAUCUUUGCAAACCUUAAAAUGAUAUAGGGUUCCAUGAUUAUCCAGGAAUAACUGAUAGCAUUUAUGUAGUACUUUAAGGUAUAGAGAAGGUAUCUACCAGAGAACAGGGUGACUAAGUCCUGAGAAUGAUUGGUAUGGUUCCUAAAAAGAAGGUUCUGGGAGGGACUCACCAAUGGGAGAAGGAGCCCACAAGACUAGGGGGUGGGGCAGCUGUGAGGCAGUUAUCAGCAUGAUAGCUAGCUUCAAGUACUUUAGAGGCUCUCACAUAGAAACAGAAUUCAACUUGGUCUAUUUGACCCCAGAAGGCAGAAGAAAAAGCAGUUUUGGAUGUGGCAACAAGGCCAAGAUUAUGUAUACUUUUAGAUGUUGACAGGGGAUAUAAAAAGGCCUUUUUCUUGGAUGUUCUACUAAGCUCGAUUAAGAAUAUUAUUCAAUACAAUAGAGAAAGACCUUUCCAUGAGGAUAAAAAGGACUAUACUUUUAAUGAACCAGUGGCAAAAUCCAAACUUACUCUUAAUUAUUUCUGUUCAGUAAUGACUGAGAAGUCACUUGGGACACCAUAUCAGAGAUAUGCAUUUUUUAUCAGAAUGAAUCUCCAAGCUUCCAGACUGUUCUGCCUUGAUGCAGACUAUGACAAUAUCUUAUUGGCAUUGAGAAAUCCCAGCUGGAAUGGAAAAGCUGCCUUAGGAGUGAGGCAAUGGCACUAUCAGAUUUGCACAGAAUUUGGAUAUUUCCAGACCACUGAUUCAGAAUGCCAGCCUUUCUCUGGAAUUCCUUUGAGGU